rnacentral:tRNA from 1 species
GUCCCAAUAGCUCAGUUGGAUAGAGCGACUGCCUCCUAAGCAGUAGGUCGGAGGUUCAAUUCCUCUUUGGGACG